UACGUAGGCAGCAAGCGUUGUUCGGAGUUACUGGGCGUAAAGGGUGUGUAGGCGGUUGUUUAAGUUUGGUGUGAAAUCUCCCGGCUCAACUGGGAGGGUGCGCCGAAUACUGAAUGACUUGGAGUGCGGGAGAGGAGAGUGGAAUUCCUGGUGUAGCGGUGAAAUGCGUAGAUAUCAGGAGGAACACCGGUGGUGUAGACGGCUCUCUGGACCGUAACUGACGCUGAAACACGAAAGCGUGGGUAGCAAACAGG
rnacentral:rRNA from 1 species